AUUGAACGCUGGCGGCAUGCCUAAGAAAUGCAAGUCGAACGAGGUAGCAAUACCUAGUGGCGAACGGUCGCGUAACACGUGGGCAACCUGCCCCAGAGCGGGGGAUAACAUGCCGAAAGGUGUGCUAAUACCGCAUAUGGCGGCUCUCGGCAUCGAGAGUUGGCUAAAGAUUUAUCACUCUGGGAUGGGCCCGCGGCCUAUCAGCUUGUUGGUGGGGUAACGGCCUACCAAGGCUUCGACGGGUAGCUGGUCUGAGAGGACGAUCAGCCGGAUUGGGACUGAGAUACGGCCCAGACUCCGUACGGGGGGCGA
rnacentral:rRNA from 1 species